CUUUUUAUGCACUUUAUUUAUUGAUUUUUUUUCUACCAAAACUGAACAUGGGGGAAAAAAAUGGAUAAAAACAAAGUAACCCUUAACACCAUUGCAUGCCAAAAUGACUAGAGAAAACAUUUGAGUACUGUGACUAAUAAUGUUUCAAAAUUACUUAACUGAAUAAAAUCUGCUUUGGAAUGUGCUGGAAAAAAUGGACAAUAUUGCUGAUUCAGUAUUGAAAGCUUAAUUCAUCCUAGCAAUAUUUCUUGAAAAUGUGCAUUAUAAAUUUGGUUGACAUAAUACAAACCAGUAUCCAUACACAUAAGAAUUUGCUGAUUCAGGAUGUCAAGAACAUGAGUAAAUAUUUUACUUUAAAAAGAAAUACAAGAUCGUAUCAUCAAUAUUACUUUAUGAUCAACUAAUAAUAAUAAUAAUAAUAAUCUUUAUUAUCCAUAUGGAAAUUUGUCUUAUGGUAAAAGAUAAGAUUUUGUAAAGGCAUUAUAUCAACAAUCAGAUCAUAAGUAAAG